rnacentral:rRNA from 1 species
UUAGACCUACGGGGGGCAGCAGUGAGGAAUAUUGGUCAAUGGCCGGAAGGCUGAACCAGCCAAGCCGCGUGAGGGAGGAAGGCGCAGAGCGUCGCAGACCUCUUUUGCCGGGGGACACAAGGCCGGACUCGUCCGGUCCUGAGGGUACCCGGAGAAAAAGCAUCGGCUAACUCCGUGCCAGCAGCCGCGGUAAUACGUAGGGGGCAAGCGUUAUCCGGAAUUACUGGGUGUAAAGGGUGAGUAGGCGGCAUGGUAAGCCAGAUGUGAAAGCCUUGGGCUUAACCCGAGGAUUGCAUUUGGAACUA